rnacentral:piRNA from 1 species
UAAGAAAUUUAGUCAAACUCAUGGUGCUUU